rnacentral:rRNA from 1 species
AUUGAACGCUGGCGGCAGGCCUAACACAUGCAAGUCGAACGAGUGGCGGACGGGUGAGUAAUGUCUGGGAAACUGCCCGAUGGAGGGGGAUAACUACUGGACACGGUAGCUAAUACCGCAUACCAUCGGAUGUGCCCAGAUGGGAUUAGCUAGUAGGUGGGGUACCGGCUCACCUAGGCGAAGCUCCCUAGCUGGUAUGAGAGGAUCACCAGCCACACUGGAACGGAGACAUGGUCCAGAAUCCUACGGGAGGCAGCAGUGGGGAAUAUUGCACAAUGGGCGCAAGCCUGAUGCAGCCAUGCCGCGUGUAUGAAGAAGGCCUUCGGGUUGUAAAGUACUUUCAGCGAGGAGGCGUUACUCGCAGAAGAAGCGCCGGCUAACUCCGUGCCAGCAGCCGCGGUAAUUC